CCUACGGGUGGCAGCAGUGGGGGAUAUUGCACAAUGGGGGGAACCCUGAUGCAGCGACGCCGCGUGGGUGAAGGAGGGUUUCGGCGCGUAAAGCCCUAUCGGCAGGGAAGAAGAGGACGGUACCUGACCAAGAAGCCCCGGCGAACUACGUGCCAGCAGCCGCGGGAAUACGUAGGGGGCAAGCGUUAUCCGGAUUGACUGGGUGUAAAGGGGGCGCAGACGGCACUGCAAGCCAGGAGUGAAAGCCCGGGGCCCCACCCCGGGACGGCUCUUGGAACUGCAUGGCUGGAGUACAGGAGGGGCAGGCGGAAUUCCUCGUGUAGCGGUGAACUGCGUAGAUAUU
rnacentral:rRNA from 1 species